rnacentral:SRP_RNA from 1 species
GCCGGGCACGGUGGCGCACGCCUCUAGUCCCAGCUACUUAGGAGGCUGAGGCAGGAGGAUCGCUUGAGCCCAGGAGUUCUGGGCUGUAGUGCCCUAUGCCGAUCGGGUGUCCGCACUAAGUUCGGCAUCAAUAUGGUGACCUCCUGGGAGCAGGGGACCACCAGGUUGCCUAAGGAGGGGUGAACUGGCCCAGGUUGGAAACAGAGCAGGUCAAAACUCCCGUGCCGAUCAGUAGAUUCCCAGGAAUAUGCUGGGGCUUUUUAACACCCUUAUGGCCAUCUCUUUUUCU